CCCUACCAUGAUGACAAUGGACUAAAUCUCUACCACUGGGGUGCUGAUAAAGGAGCCACGUGAACAGGGAGGAGGAAUCCAGGUUCACUUUGGUUUAUCCUGAGCUCAUCAUCUGGGGACCCAGGAAUCAGUGUCAAGUCAUCAGACUUGGAGGAAAAUCCCUUCAUUUGCUGAGCCAUCUCACUGAUCUGAAGGCAUCAGACUCCUUACAACUUAGCAUUUCUUCUAAUACCAUGGAUCCUUUUCCAUGUGCCUGAUCUCCUCUGUUUUCUUCGCUGCAAACACACAAAGCGCCCAGUAGAAUCACAGACACAAAGGCUGACAGUAAACAGAAUCAAAGAGGCUCAUACCAGAGGUCAGGAAAUGUGGCUUCUAUUCAACGUGUUUGCAGGUUUGUGACCCCAAUUCUAUUUUUCUACAAUAUGGGUAGACUGGAGUAGAAUCCAUGCUAGCAGCUGGGGAGAAGACUCAGCCAGUGCCCAGUGCACUGGAGAACCUAGGUUUGACCCUCGAGACCCAGAAGCUCCCGUGAGCUGGGGUGGGGCAAUGCUCGCUUUCGACACAGCUCUGGGAAGACAGGGACAGGAGGGUCCCUGGGGCUCACUAUUCUUGCCCCGUUGGUGAACUCAGUUCAGUGAGAGAUCCUGUCUUUAAAAACAAGGUGGGGACUUCUGAGAAAGGAUGGCUUGGCAUGACCAGCCACUAGCUGUCCCCAGAACAUCCACGACACAG